rnacentral:tRNA from 1 species
CGAAGUAUAGCUUAAACAAAGCAUCUUGCUUACACCAAGAAAAUGCCUGAUAGUACAGACUAUUUCGAG